rnacentral:rRNA from 1 species
UGGGGAAUUUUGGACAAUGGGCGCAAGCCUGAUCCAGCCAUGCCGCGUGCGGGAAGAAGGCCUUCGGGUUGUAAACCGCUUUUGUCAGGGAAGAAAUCUUCUGAGUUAAUACCCCGGGAGGAUGACGGUACCUGAAGAAUAAGCACCGGCUAACUACGUGCCAGCAGCCGCGGUAAUACGUAGGGUGCAAGCGUUAAUCGGAAUUACUGGGCGUAAAGCGUGCGCAGGCGGUUUUGUAAGACAGAGGUGAAAUCCCCGGGCUCAACCUGGGAACUGCCUUUGUGACUGCAAGGCUUGAGUGCGGCAGAGGGGGAUGGAAUUCCGCGUGUAGCAGUGAAAUGCGUAGAUAUGCGGAGGAACACCGAUGGCGAAGGCAAUCCCCUGGGCCUGCACUGACGCUCAUGCACGAAAGCGUGGGGAGCAAACAGGAUUAGAUACCCUGGUAGUCCACGCCCUAAACGAUGUCAACUGGUUGUUGGGAAGGUUCCUUCUCAGUAACGUAGCUAACGCGUGAAGUUGACCGCC